rnacentral:rRNA from 1 species
CCCUUAGAUGUCCUGGGCCGCACGCGCGCUACACUGAUGCAUUCAACGAGUGUACCUUGACCGAGAGGUCUGGGAAAUCUUGGAACCUGCAUCGUGAUAGGGAUAGAUUAUUGCAAUUAUUAAUCUUGAACGAGGAAUUCCUAGUAAACGCAGAUCAUCAAUCUGCAUUGAUUACGUCCCUGCCCUUUGUACACACCGCCCGUCGCACCUACCGAUUGUUCAAAAUGGUGAGGCCAGGGGAUUGCGAGAAGUUUGCUUAAUUGUGAGUUUUUUGCAAGAACUUGCCCAAACCUCAUUGAAUAGAGGAAGGUGAAGUCGUAACA